AAGUCGUAACAAGGUUUCCGUAGGUGAACCUGCGGAAGGAUCAUUAAUGAAUACCUCGCUGUGCGCUUUGCGGCUGCACGCUUGGAAUCCACACCUGUGCACUUUCGAUUGGCUUCGGCCUUUCGCUCACACAUACUAUGUCGUCUCGAAUGUAAACACUUUAUAAAAAUACAACUAUCAGCAACGGAUCUCUUGGCUCUC
rnacentral:misc_RNA from 1 species